GAGUUGGAACUCUCUAUUCCAUUCUUCUUGUCCUCCAGGUAUUUUGGGCAGUUCCUCUUCCAAUGUCCAGUCUUGUUUCAGUGGAAGCACUUACCCUCAUUUGCAAUGCCACCAGUAGGCUUCAAAGCUUUAGGGUUAGGUUUGGGUUUGACAACUUCCUUGCCCUUCCCUUUUCCGCCCUUUCCUUUGUUGCCCUUGUGAUUCCCAUUGCCGAUCAAUAGAACUUGAUUCGACUUCCCUUUUGAUCUCAUGUUUUGUUCAGCUUGUCUCAACAUGUUUAAUAGUUGUGGUAGAGUUUUCUCCAUGUCUGACAUGGUGAAGUUCAGCACAAACUGAUUAAAGCUCGCCGGCAACGAUUGCAGGAUGAGAUCAGUUGCAAGCUCAUCACCGAGCGGAAAUCCCAAUUUU
rnacentral:lncRNA from 1 species